GAGGUCCCUCGGAGCAGUUAUAACUCCAGAAAUCCAGGUAUGAUGAGUGACUGUUUAUCAUUUGUCUGUCAACCCGUCAGAUUUGUUGUGAGCUUUGAAACUCUAUGUUCUCUUGCUCAGAUCAGCAUGAUUUCUUCAUUGAAGUUGUUCCUCAGCUUGUGAACUACAACAUAUCCAAAUUUGAGAUCCCUCGGAGCAG
rnacentral:lncRNA from 1 species